rnacentral:rRNA from 1 species
CCUACGGGAGGCUGCAGUGAGGAAUAUUGCACAAUGGGGGAAACCCUGAUGCAGCGACGCCGCGUGAGCGAUGAAGUAUUUCGGUAUGUAAAGCUCUAUCAGCAGGGAAGAAAAUGACGGUACCUGACUAAGAAGCCACGGCUAACUCCGUGCCAGCAGCCGCGGUAAUACGUAGGGAGCAAGCGUUAUCCGGAUUUACUGGGUGUAAAGGGAGCGUAGACGGCUUGGCAAGCCAGAUGUGAAAGGCUGGGGCUCAACCCCAGGACUGCAUUUGGAACUGUCAGGCUAGAGUGUCGGAGAGGCAGGCGGAAUUCCUGGUGUAGCAGUGAAAUGCGUAGAUAUGAGGAGGAACACUAGUGGCGAAGGCGGCCUGCUGGACGAUGACUGACGUUGAGGCUCGAAGGCGUGGGGAGCAAACAGGAUUAGAUACCCUAGUAGUC